ensembl:lncRNA
UGAUUUCCACAUCUUAAAUACAUUCAUUUAUCUGACCCUCGGGGCUCCUUGCGAGUGGGGAGAGAAGAAGCAGAGAGGAUGAAGAGGGCGAGGGCACAUAUGACAUUUUCAUUGUGGAAUCUGACUUGUAUUGUUUCUGUGGUCAGCGCACUGCCCAGAGAUUUCACAUGCCAUCGUGGCCACACAAGCUCCGCACUGCUAAACGCUUGCAGAUGCCAUUACACACAUGCACUUGGUUCUCGACAGGCUCCGAUGACUUUCCUGUUAUAUGCCAGCGCCAGAUGAGUUACAAUUCAACUGCCUCAUUUUGCAGCGCAUUCCUCAAGGUUAUACCAGCUAAACAUUUGCUCGUGGGUGCCAGUUUCUCUUUAGCGCUCAAUUAAAGUUCAUGACCUCCUUUGCAGAGUUCACGUUGGGACGAGCGGCUUCGGAGGGGAGCGUCAACCCUUUAGUGCGAGCUCACGUGAUCCGCAGCAUAUGGCCGGGAGGGAGGUGGGCUUUGGGCCUGAGCGGAGCAUACUUUCCACCUCUGAGUGUGGGCCAGAGCAGCCGCAGUUCCUCAUGUCCGACUCCCGACAGGAAGCACUCGGAGCCCCACAGCUGCCCACCACCAGUGACACUCGGCUGGCUCUGCUCUCAUCCAGGACGCGGUCCAGGCUCUGCACAGGGAACGUGUUCAGUCAGCGAGCCCACAGCUGGAAGGCAAAGAAGCGCAUUGAAAUGGAAAUGAAGGAGGCAUCGUCCUCUCAUUCCUCACACAAUGAGACCUGCCCAGGAAUGAAGAUUUGUUGGGACAGACACAUCAGGAUCUGAAGAGGAGAGUGGUGAAAAGGUGAAGGAAGUAGUGUGAUCCAGAAUCUCCUGAGGUUAAUACUUUGACACAAUGACAAUAUAUGACAAAUGUCUAUGCGGCUUAGGUGAUGUCAUGGCCUUGAAUGGGAUGUCAAAAUGCGCACAAUUGGAAUACAUUUGCGGUCCAACUCUCUCGUCAUAAACAAAGAAAAAUUGAAUUAAAAUGUAUGGUUUAAAUAUUGCAGAGCAGUUUCAAAAGUUGGUGUACCCGCUAUAGCCACAAACUGCAACAGGCUGCUUGAACAGGAAGUACAAACAAAAAUACAACAAUAUAAAACAAAAAACAUAAAGGGUGAGUACGUCUAUGGGGCACAUAAGGCCGAUUCUCUUCAAGGAUCCAUGACAACGUGAAAUAAAAGUUCUUUAUUGCAGCUAUAGGGUUAUUUUAAUUCAUCGCCUACAUGAUGAAUAAUGCUUUUUCCUCUUAGGUAAUCUGAUGUUACGUUAGUCUGGACCUAAAUUAAACUUUGCCAGUUGAAUGCGUCACUCUUGAGAACUGAUGAAAGUCAUUUGAAACUUACUUCAGAAGCCAUAAUGUUUAACACAGAAUCAUAUCAUUUCCGUUUGGCAUUUUCUU